AAGAGAAUAUGUGGGAGAACAAAACAGAAACUGAAAGAAUAUGCAAGAUCCUGUGCUAGGUGCUAAGAAGAUAGCAGAAAACAAGAGACACAUGCUGCUGUCCUCAUUAAGCUAACUCUCCACUCUCUGGUUGGAAGACCUUCAGCCAAGCUCUACGGAUGAAAUGAAAAAUGGGAAUUCUAUUUCAAAGUUUCAGAGACAUCCAUGAUGAGGGAAUUAUUAAAAGAAACUCUAGACUCCUAAUCCUAUGAAAAAACAGAAAGGAUCCACACAUUCCUUGAAUUGUUUAUAGAUUUUGCUCUGCUUGUAUUUGUUAAAGAGUAAAAGGUCUGUAGCUUUCAGUAGUUUCUCUCUCUCUCUCUCUCUCUUUUUUUUUUUUUUCUCAGACUGGGUCUCACUUUAUUGGCCAGGCUGGAACGCAGUGGUAUGAUAAUGGCUCACUGCAGCUUCAGCCUCCAGGGCUCACACAAUCCUCCUGCCUCAGCUUCCCACGUAGCUGGGACCACAGGAGCAUGACACCAUGCCCAGCUAAUGUUUUAUUUUUAUUUUUAGUAGAGAUGAAGUCUCACUAUGUUGCCCAGGCUGGUUUUAACUCCUGGGCUCAAGUGAUCCUCCUGCCUCAGCCUCCCAAAGUGCUGGGAUUACAAAUGUGAGCCACUAUACCCAGCCAGUAGUUUCUCAAAGUUUAUUGGAAAUGUCAUCAUUAAUUUUUCACCUACAUUUUAAUUUAAAUCAAUUUAAUUUAGUUACAAUUUUUGAAAUUAAGAAAUAAUUGUCUUAAAAAUGAAUAUACUACAACUAUUUAAUCAGAUAUCCAGUUUAGGCAGAUACGAAGGCAGUGAAGAAUAUGAAAACUAAUGUAAAAGAUAUUAAAAUGGUUUUAAGCAGGGACUCAAAAAGACAUUUGUAUACCAGUGUUCAUAGCAGCAUUGUUCACAAUAGUCAAAAAGUGGAAAAAAUUAAAUGUCCAUCAAUGGAUUAAUGGAUAAACAAAAUGUGAUGUAUCCAUAAAAUUGAAUAUCCAGCCAUAAAAAAGUUCUAACACAUGCUAAAUAUGAAUGAACCUUGAAGAUAUUAUGCUAAAUAAAGCAAGCCAGACACAAAAGGACAAAUAUUGUAUCAUUUCACUUAUACGCUGUACCCAGAAUAGUGAAUUAACAGAGAAAUAGAAUAUGGUUAUCAGGGGCUGAAGGUGGAGGGUAAUGGGGCGUUGUUGGAGGCCAAAAGAGUGAGGGUCGUGAUCAACUCAGGAUAGCACUGGAGACUAUAUGAGUAAACAGCAAACUUUUUCUCAUAAAUGCAGAAUGUUAGCAAACUG
rnacentral:lncRNA from 10 species